rnacentral:rRNA from 1 species
AGCUGACGAGUGGCGCACGGGUGCGUAACGCGUAUGCAAUCUGCCUUGUACUGGAGUAUAGCCCAGGGAAACUUGGAUUAAUCCUCCAUAGUCUAUAUGAUUGGCAUCAUUUAUAUAGUAAAGGUUACGGUACAAGAUGAGCAUGCGUCCUAUUAGCUAGUAGGUGUGGUAACGGCACACCUAGGCUUCGAUAGGUAGGGGUCCUGAGAGGGAGAUCCCCCACACUGGUACUGAGACACGGACCAGACUCC